rnacentral:lncRNA from 1 species
CAAGACAACACCAGCAACAACACCUGAAAAAGAAGCCACAAGCAAGGCUGAGUAUACUAAUACUCAACAAGGCUUACCCGUCAGGUGGUAACUACUCCACCGACUCCUAGACAUGCAAGGCUUUUUGGCGGUGGGUUUGUUUUUGCCAAAAGCGACUAAAGUUGGUCCUUACUUUCAAUAUUUUAGCUCAAGUUCUAAGUUU